rnacentral:rRNA from 1 species
CACCUACGGGUGGCUGCAGUGGGGAAUUUUGGACAAUGGGCGCAAGCCUGAUCCAGCCAUGCCGCGUGCGGGAAGAAGGCCUUCGGGUUGUAAACCGCUUUUGUCAGGGAAGAAAAGGUUCUGGUUAAUACCUGGGACUCAUGACGGUACCUGAAGAAUAAGCACCGGCUAACUACGUGCCAGCAGCCGCGGUAAUACGUAGGGUGCAAGCGUUAAUCGGAAUUACUGGGCGUAAAGCGUGCGCAGGCGGUUAUGCAAGACAGAUGUGAAAUCCCCGGGCUCAACCUGGGAACUGCAUUUGUGACUGCAUAGCUAGAGUACGGUAGAGGGGGAUGGAAUUCCGCGUGUAGCAGUGAAAUGCGUAGAUAUGCGGAGGGACACCGAUGGCGAAGGCAAUCCCCUGGACCUGUACUGACGCUCAUGCACGAAAGCGUGGGGAGCAAACAGGAUUAGAUACCCUGGUAGUCCACGCCCUAAACGAUGUCAACUGGUUGUUGGGAGGGUUUCUUCUCAGUAACGAAGCUAACGCGUGAAGUGACCG